CUCAAGUUAAUUGGUUAUAAAUUAACCUUGGGAGGCUGUUUGUGUGAAGCAGAUUAUGUGCACGCAGCUUUGUGAAGGUUGUUAGUGAAGCAAACUGUAGGAAAGAAAGGCGGAAACAGGGAUGCAUGACACAAUUCAAAUUGCCUGAAAUGCCUGUAACAAACAGUUGGUUUGUGCGUCUGUCAGUUCUCUUUAGAAAACAUGCAAGAAAAACCUCAGGAAAGUUUAUUUGGGCCACCUGCAAUAAUAAAAUUGAAGUGAUCCAAGCCUGAAAAUAACACCGUGCGUCUCCAACACUGUUGUUUGCCAUGGCCUUGCCACUCACUGGGCUGGAGGAGCAAGUCCUUACUUUGCUGGGCCCCCAAGGGAAGAUGUUGGUGUUGCCCAGGGCCUGUGGGGAUACAGCUACAGCCCAGCUUGUCUGCACUGGGAAAGAAGGGAGAGGAUGUGAGAGUGGAGCUGCCAUCCCUUCCCCUGUGUUUGCUCAUGUUCCGGGUGGGCGCCCUGGGCAGCCCAACAGUGCUGCAGGGAGGUGCCAAAAUUUCACAGAGCAAAACUGCACCUCGUUAUUCCACUGAUCCUGUAAAACUAUUAAGGAGCAUCCAGCAGAGUAUGUGACACACACAUGUUUAAUUUCUUUUACAGUUUCUGUUUUGAUAGAUGCUCAAUGUGUUUUUAUAAAACAAAGAUUUAUUGGAACCUGGAAUUUUAUGACUUUAAGGUUUGCUUGAGUCCAGACUGUGAGUUUCUCCUUUUGGAAGAAGAAAAGGUUUAAAAGAGCCCAUCUGCCUGUGGCACUUAUGAAACCCUAGGCCAAGGAUGACACCUUUUCCCGUAACUUCUACUAUAAUGUCAAACAAAAAUUUACCAUCAAAUAUUAUGCCU